UACGUAGGGGGCAAGCGUUAUCCGGAUUUACUGGGUGUAAAGGGAGCGUAGACGGUUAAGUAAGUCUGGAGUGAAAGGCCGGGGCCCAACCCCGGGACUGCUCUGGAAACUAUUGAACUUGAGUGCAGGAGAGGUAAGCGGAAUUCCUAGUGUAGAGGUGAAAUGCGUAGAUAUUAGGAGGAACACCAGUGGCGAAGGCGGCCACCUGGACCGAUAUUGACGCUGAGGCGCGAAAGCGUGGGGAGCAAACAGG
rnacentral:rRNA from 1 species